rnacentral:sRNA from 1 species
GCUGUGUCAUUGCCCUCCCUGCUGCAGCCACCCAAACGGGGCCGCUUGUACUUGGGGGCCAGGGCCUGAUCCCUGGCUGGGGGAAGGGGACUCUGCUCUCUCGAUGCUCAUUUCUCCCCGCCCUCCCGGGGUUUGCCCUACUCGGGGGGUCAGAAGACAGGAGAUUGGCGGCCAUUUUAGACGCAGUAACCGAGAUUCUUCGCUGCAGCUGCCUUACCGCCGAGAACCACCACCCGCCGGGCGUCUUGCGGCCACACCCCUGGCGGGCUCAGACAGGCUACGCCCACGCGACCCCUCCCGUUUCCCUGCUCUGGCCAAUGGAGGAGCUACGAAUGGCACGACCUGCUCGAGCUUGGCAGUCUCCAGUUGCGCUGUGUAUGGAAGCCUGGGAAGACUUUGUUGGAAGGGGAGGCGGGGAGAGAGUGCUGGAGGCUCUCGGGCGAUGGCUUCCGCACCCCUUCCAACCACCCUCUUUCCCUGGAGUCGGCGGACCACAGCUCAGCCAAUUGGCUUGGAGAUGUGGCGGGUUGCCACUUCCCUGUGGGUCUGUGCGGCACUCUUCUGUCUGGUGACUGACACCUUGGAAAUGAAGUUUAUGACGUCAUCGUUGCGGCUGGCCAAUAGAAAAAGCUCCCGCGGAGAGGUGUUCCUUCCCCUUCGACUCAGCUUCUUCGCCCGCGUGAGCGAGCGCGCGAGCGCGGAGGGGGUGGGGAAAA